AACGAACGCUGGCGGCAUGCCUAACACAUGCAAGUCGAACGAGACCUUCGGGUCUAUUGGCGCACGGUUGCGUAACGCGUGGGAACCUGCCCUUAGGUUCGGAAUAACUCCCCGAAAGGGGUGCUAAUACCGGAUAAUGUCUUCGACCCAAAGAUUUAUCGCCUUUGGAUGGGCCCGCGUUGGAUUAGCUAGUUGGUAGGGUAAAAGCCUACCAAGGCGACGAUCCAUAGCUGGUCGGAGAGGAUGAUCAGCCACACUGGGACUGAGACCCGGCCCAGUCUCCUACGGGAGGCAGCAGUGGGGAAUAUUGGACAAUGGGCGAAAGCCUGAUCCAGCAAUGCCGCGUGAGUGAUGAAGGCCUUAGGGUUGUAAAGCUCUUUUACCCGGGAUGAUAAUGACAGUACCGGGAGAAUAAGCUCCGGCUAACUCCGUG
rnacentral:rRNA from 1 species